AGUGAACGCUGGCGGUAGGCCUAACACAUGCGAGUCGAACGGCAGCACAGUAAGAGCUUGCUCUUACGGGUGGCGAGUGGCGGACGGGUGAGGAAUACAUCGGAAUCUACUUUUUCGUGGGGGAUAACGUAGGGAAACUUACGCUAAUACCGCAUACGACCUACGGGUGAAAGCAGGGGAUCUUCGGACCUUGCGCGAUUGAAUGAGCCGAUGUCGGAUUAGCUAGUUGGCGGGGUAAAGGCCCACCAAGGCGACGAUCCGUAGCUGGUCUGAGAGGAUGAUCAGCCACACUGGAACUGAGACACGGUCCAGACUCCUACGGGAGGCAGCAGUGGGGAAUAUUGGACAAUGGGCGCAAGCCUGAUCCAGCCAUACCGCGUGGGUGAAGAAGGCCUUCGGGCUGUAAAGCCCUUUUGUUGGGAAAGAAAAGCAGCAGGUUAAUACCCCGCCGUUCUGACGGUACCCAAAGAAUAAGCACCGGCUAACUUCGUG
rnacentral:rRNA from 1 species